rnacentral:rRNA from 1 species
AUACGUAGGGGGCGAGCGUUAUCCGGAUUUAUUGGGCGUAAAGCGUGUGUAGGCGGUUUGUUAAGUUUAAGAUUAAAGCCCGAGGCUUAACCUCGGUUCGUCUUGAAAACUGGCAGACUUGAGUGCAGUAGAGGCAAGUGGAAUUUCUAGUGUAGCGGUUAAAUGCGUAGAUAUUAGAAGGAAAACCAGUGGCGAAGGCGGCUUGCGGGGCUGUUACUGACGCUGAGCAACGAAAGCGGGGGGAGCAAAUAGGAUUAGAUACCCUAGUAGUCCACGCCGUAAACGAUGAGUACUAAGUGUCGGGUAACCGGUGCUGAAGUUAACACAAUAAGUAUUCCGCCUGGGGAGUACGGCCGCAAGGCUAAAACUCAAAGGAAUUGACGGGG